GUCGAACGGGAAAAGUGGUGUGUGUUUCCAGUGGCGCGAAACGGGUGAGUAACGCGUAAGAACCUGCCCUUGGGAGGGGAACAACAACUGGAAACGGUUGCUAAUACCCCGUAGGCUGAGGAGCAAAAGGAGAAAUCCGCCCAAGGAGGGGCUCGCGUCUGAUUAGCUAGUUGGUGAGGCAAUAGCUUACCAAGGCGAUGAUCAGUAGCUGG
rnacentral:ncRNA from 1 species